rnacentral:rRNA from 1 species
AGGACGAACGCUGGCGGCGUGCUUAACACAUGCAAGUCGAACGGGGUGUGCCGGGUAGUAAUACCUUGUACAUCUAGUGGCGAACGGGUGCGUAACACGUGAGUAACCUACCCCGAAGUCUGGAAUAACACCGGGAAACCGAUGCUAAUACCAGAUGCCCUCCUCUGAUCGCAUGAUCGGUUGAGGAAAGUUUUUCGCUUCGGGAGGGGCUCGCGGCCUAUCAGCUUGUUGGUGAGGUAACGGCUCACCAAGGCUUCGACGGGUAGCUGGUCUGAGAGGACGAUCAGCCACACUGGGACUGAGACACGGCCCAGACUCCUACGGGAGGCAGC